rnacentral:rRNA from 1 species
UACGUAGGGUGCGAGCGUUGUCCGGAAUUAUUGGGCGUAAAGAGCUCGUAGGCGGUCUGUCGCGUCGGAAGUGAAAACUCGGGGCUCAACCCCGAGCCUGCUUUCGAUACGGGCAGACUUGAGGAAUGUAGGGGAGAACGGAAUUCCUGGUGGAGCGGUGGAAUGCGCAGAUAUCAGGAGGAACACCAGUGGCGAAGGCGGUUCUCUGGACAUUAACUGACGCUGAGGAGCGAAAGCGUGGGGAGCAAACAGG